GUGCUAAGUUCGGCAGCACAUAUACUAAAAUUGGAACGAUACGGAGAAGGUUAGUAUGGCCCCUGCGCAAAGAUGAUACGCAAAUUCAUGAAGCAUUCCAUAUUUUU
ensembl:snRNA U6 U6 spliceosomal RNA